GUAGAGGGAGCCUGAGAAACGGCUACCACAUCCAAGGAAGGCAGCAGGCGCGCAAAUUACCCACUCCCAGCGCGGGGAGGUAGUGACAAGAAAUAGCAAUGUGAGACCCUUUGGGUAUCACGAUUGGAAUGAGAACAAUUUAAACCACUUAACGAGGAACAAUUGGAGGGCAAGUCUGGUGCCAGCAGCCGCGGUAAUUCCAGCUCCAAUAGUGUAUAUUAAAGUUGUUGCGGUUAAAAAGCUCGUAGUUGAACUACAGGGAAAGGUAACCACUCACCGACCCAAGCUCUUGCGAAGGUUGGAAACAUGGGUAGGUGCUUUGAGCUGACGAAAUCGUCCUACACGUUUCGGUUCUUCAGUCGGACCUGCAUCGGCUGGAGGAUCGUGUUGGACACUUUACUGUGAAGAAAUUUGAGUGUUAAAAGCAAGCAAAAAUGCAUGAAGACAUUAGCAUGGGAUAAUGAAAUACGACCUGUUCCUUACUUCAUUUCUAAGGAAAAGGUAAUGAUUGAUAGGGACAGUCGGGGUCGCUAGUACUGAGUGGCUAGAGGUGAAAUUCUAUGACCCACUCAAGACUAACAAGAGCGAAAGCAUUCGACAAGGAUGUUUUCAUUAAUCAAGAGCGAAAGUUGAGGGAUCGAAGAUGAUCAGAUACCGUCGUAGUCUCAACUAUAAACGAUGUCGACUCGGGAUUGGAGGGCGUUACAUGGAUGACCCCUCCAGCACCGUGUGAGAAAUCACAAGUAUCCAGACUCCGGGGGGAGUAUGGUCGCAAGUCUGAAACUUAAAGGAAUUGACGGAAGGGCACCACCAGGAGUGGAGUCUGCGGCUUAAUUUGACCCAACACGGGGAAACUUACCAAGUCCGAACAUGAUGAGGAUUGACAGAUUGAUAGCUCUUUCUUGAUUUUAUGAUAAGUGGUGCAUGGCCGUUUUUAGUUGGUGGAGUGAUCUGUCUGGUUAAUUCCGUUAACGAACGAGACCUUAACCUAUUGAAUAGGGAAACGAACACUCGGAUCGGGAAGGUUGGUCGCAAGGCUGACCGACUCGGUCCAAACGCAUUUGAAAACACUUCUCAGAGGAACUAUUCACCCACCAAGUGAACGGAAGUUUAAGGCAACAACAGGUCUGUGAUGCCCUCAGAUGUUUUGGGCUGCACGCGCAUUACACUGUUAUGUGCAACGAGUAUUCGCAUCCUAACCCUGAGGGGUAGGGUAAGCUUUUAAUACAUAACGUGAUUGGGAUUGUGUUUUGUAAUUAUCACACAUGAACGAGGAAUUCCUAGUAAGCGUAAGUCAUCAACUUGCGCUGAUUACGUCCCUGCCCUUUGUACACACCGCCCGUCGCUCCUACCGAUUGAACGGCCCGAUGAGGAUUCGGGAUGGCUGGUAGCUGUUCGGUUUACGCUGUUCACUGCUAGUCAGAACCUAUUCAAAUCUUGUCGUUUAGAGGAAGGAGAAGUCGUAACAAGGUU
rnacentral:rRNA from 1 species